rnacentral:rRNA from 1 species
AGUGAACGCUGGCGGUAGGCCUAACACAUGCAAGUCGAACGGCAGCACAGUAAGAGCUUGCUCUUACGGGUGGCGAGUGGCGGACGGGUGAGGAAUACAUCGGAAUCUACUUUUUCGUGGGGGAUAACGUAGGGAAACUUACGCUAAUACCGCAUACGACCUACGGGUGAAAGCAGGGGAUCUUCGGACCUUGCGCGAUUGAAUGAGCCGAUGUCGGAUUAGCUAGUUGGCGGGGUAAAGGCCCACCAAGGCGACGAUCCGUAGCUGGUCUGAGAGGAUGAUCAGCCACACUGGGACUGAGACACGGUCCAGACUCCUACGGGAGGCAGCAGUGGGGAAUAUUGGACAAGGGGCGCAAGCCUGAUCCAGCCAUACCGCGUGGGUGAAGAAGGCCUUCGGGUUGUAAAGCCCUUUUGUUGGGAAAGAAAAGCAGCUGGUUAAUACCCCGCUGUUCUGACGGUACCCAAAGAAUAAGCACCGGCUAACUUCGUGC